GAGUUUGAUCCUGGCCAGGAUGAACGCUAGCGGCAGGCUUAACACAUGCAAGUCGAGGGGUAUAUGUCUUCGGAUAUAGAGACCGGCGCACGGGUGCGUAACGCGUAUGCAAUCUACCUUUUACAGGGGGAUAGCCCAGAGAAAUUUGGAUUAAUACCCCAUAGUAUAGUGAGUUGGCAUCAACACACUAUUAAAGUCACAACGGUAAAAGAUGAGCAUGCGUCCCAUUAGCUAGUUGGUAAGGUAACGGCUUACCAAGGCUACGAUGGGUAGGGGUCCUGAGAGGGAGAUCCCCCACACUGGUACUGAGACACGGACCAGACUCCUACGGGAGGCAGCAGUGAGGAAUAUUGGACAAUGGGCGCAAGCCUGAUCCAGCCAUGCCGCGUGCAGGAUGACGGUCCUAUGGAUUGUAAACUGCUUUUGUACGAGAAGAAACACUGCUUCGUGAAGCAGCUUGACGGUAUCGUAAGAAUAAGGAUCGGCUAACUCCGUGCCAGCAGCGCGGUAA
rnacentral:rRNA from 1 species